CCAAGAUAGAAACGUUUCUGGAGAAAAUAACAGAAGACAUGGCAGGAGAAAUGAUUGAGAGCUUUUCCAGUUUGGCAUGGAAACAAAGCAAAGCAAUUUCAGUGUGGUAACAAGACUAAGGAGGAGACAGAUGCUGUGCGGGCAACAGUACCAGAGCUAAGGGAUGAGAAACUUCUCCAUAAGAUGUCCCUUUAUUGCUCCAGCAGCUAUUAUGGGCUGCGUCUCCCCAAGCAUGGCAGCUCACCACUGUGGAACCCUAAAUAGAAUGACACUCAGUGUUGAAUGGCAAGGCCUCUGGUCAUAAAUAAGAUAAGCCGAAAGACAUUUGAUGGUUAUCACAGAAAUGGACUUUCCUUACUUGGAAUUUUCCUGCCUAAACAUCCACAGGGAAAAGCUACAUGUUGGGACUUCAUAAUUCAUUUCAAGCAUUUUGUUUGCAAAUCUCAAAGCUUGAUUUUUUUUCUAAGUUUGCAGGUACUUCAAUAUUUGUAUUUCCAUUUCAGAUUUUUAAAAUUCAUUGCUUUAAAGAACUACAUCUGAAGAACAAUGUUUAGCUCUUUAUUUAUUAUUGUAUUUUAUUUAUCUAAAGACCAAUAUGUUGCUUCCUACUGAUAACAUCAGAUGAAUAUUAUCGUGAAGUUAAAUUAGCUUCUUCAACAGUGAGCUCUGUGGAAUAGAUGCACCUUUCCUUCUAGUGUGACCAUUUGAGAUGGAACAGACCAGAGGAUUUUCCAUCCCAUUGCUAGAAUAUGUUUCUGUGACAAAGUUCUAGCAAGUUUUAGUCCGUAAUCCAUUUCAAGAGAAAUUCCCAUUUCUGUUUUUUUUUCAAUUAUGUCUUUUAACUUAUAUUUUCUGGAUCUUAUUCCAUUUGAGUGAAAUGUGAAUAGAUGAAGAGAUGUGGUAUCAGAGCUCAUUAAACAAAACUUUUCUGGUAACAUGUUUCAUCCUAUUUAGUUAUUUGAAUUCAGAUAAGCUUAAAGGAAAAGAACAAAACAAAGCUAUAAAGAAAAUUGGAAGUUAUUCAUUGUCAUUCAUCAUAAACAAGCUCAGAGGCUGGGAUAUUUGGCACGAUGACAAUGAAACUGCAGGAAAUUGAGCACACUCCAAUGUUGGUGAGGACGGUCCAUCCAUUCUGCAUAUGUCUGCGUCUUUGGGACUUAGAGUCUGGCAAGUAGAAGAGGGAUUUCAUCUUGUUGGAAAAUAUAAGUUGGAAAAUCAACCCACAUGAAAUUGCAGAAGCCAAGGGGUUUCACUGAUGGAAAAAUGGAGAAGGAAGAUCUGAUGAAACAGCAAGUCCUUAAGAGUGGGAGCCAGAAGUUUAAGUUGUAACAGGUUUUGGAUAAGAUUCAGAACUUAGAGGAUAACGAACUGCAGAAAAAUUCUUUGGAAGAUAAUGACUAGAGAAAAAUUCUGGGUCAAAGGCAGCUAUUGUGGUGCAUAGUUAUUCAGAUUUCAAAUUUGAAAAGAAAUCAUUGUUUCAUAGGCCGAAAGGAGCCCAAACGGUAGAGGGAGGAGAAUGUGAAUUCUGGAAUUAGGAAGACUUGAGCUUGAUUUCACCUUCUGCCAUUGAACAACUGCUGAGUAAUGGAGAAAGCUCACAAAAGAAGAGAAGGGACAUGCUUCACUCAGGAUGAUGGGCUGUCCUUUUUCCUUUGGAACCAGCAUAACCUUCACCAUGUAAAUAUGGAUUGCAAAGAAAUGGAAACGUGGUGCUGUUCACCUUACAGCCCCUGAUGAUUUCUUAUAGUGGGGGAGAGGGGGAUUGCACUUCAAGGUCAGAGUAGCUGAGCCACGUUAUUCCAGUGUAAGAAAAAAUGCUAACAUUGAAAUGAGCAAUUUUCCCCUGUAAAGAUUCUCUGCCUAGGGGAAUAGAAAGAUCAGAAAAGGGAGCUGGUGGAGGAAAGAACUAGAAUAAACAAAGCAAGCUCAGAACAAUUUAUUCCUAUGUUUGUUUACUGAAAUAGAACCAGGAAGGACCGAUGAAGGUCUGAAUUAAUGUAAUUUAUAAGAAGAGAGGCUCCCCUCCAAGGCAAUGAAGUGAUCUCUUUCCAAAUAUGUAACCAGGAGUGGCUCCCUAUAAACCCAAGGCAUGUCAGGGCAAAGAUGGUAUUCCAGAUCUUUACAGCCUCCCCACUUUUUGCCUCAGAGAGAGUUCCUAAUUCACCAUUUAGGGAUUCAGAAUUGUUAAUCAAACUUGCUCUGAUGAAAUUUUGAGGGUUGUUCUGUUUCUUGUCACAAGUUGAAUUGUUCAAAAGCACUGCAUCACAGAUCUGAUUUUCCGCAUUGCGCUAGCAUUUUCUUACCUUGGGGCAGGCAAAGGGCUAGUCAAACUUUAAAAUUGGAACUUCUUCCAUUUUUUUCCCUCAGAGCAUUUGAAGUUUUUUUGUUUUGUCUGUUUGCUUUGUGUCUGUUACAUUUCUCUAUUUUGCUUUUCAAGUGCAAAACUACUGUGCUGGAGAUGAUAGAGGGGAUACAUAAAGGGGGAAAAUACAUGCUCAAGGAAGUUCACAGAGUGGAUACUCUAUAUCCAAUAAUAACAGUGAGGAAAGAAAGAAUGCAGUUGAAGAUAUGAGGGGCAGAGUAAUACAGAGAUUUUCACAGAUUUAGAGGAUUGCUGCCCAAAUCCUUCUGUUUCUCUCUUUUUGUUCCUAGUGAGAGUUGUUAAAAUAGCUAACAUCAACAUGCCUAUUCUGCACAGAGGAAGGAUAUAUGAAGAAAGCAAGAAACCACUAGCCUAUGUGCAGGGUGAUAUGCCUUACAGCCAUGCUCAGUUACUAUUUUUGAUCGUGGGCCUAGAAAUAACCAUCUGGGCAAUCAGACUUUUGCAUUGACAUGCAAUGUUGGCUAAAUCCACAGGCAGCUGGCUGAGUACUAUUUAAACUCAGUGCUGAGAUGGGAGUAGGCCCUGACAGGCAGUAGUUAGGGGACACUCAUCUAUUCUACCCAUGUCAACAGUAAUGAUACUGUAAUUCUUUCCAAAAUGUGGUCCUUUUUGCUAUGUUUUGACAAGCUGGCUGUUAUUCUAACUUUCUGUAUUAUUGGAAACACACAGACUAGACAUUGAUACACAUAUAUGCAUAUGCAUGUGUUUAUAUGGCUGUAUACAGUUAUGGAAGAAUCCAUGAGAGUCAAUCAUCCAUAUUUAUUAAGUAUGUACACUAUGCAAAGCACUUUAUUGUGUGAUAUAGAAAAAUAUGGAAAAAUUGUAAGCACACUAAGUCCAGGAGAGGUUGAUUCACCUAUUUUCCAGAACCUCACUUUGUGUUUCUAUUAAGUGACGUAUAGGGAUCUGGUGGCAUCCAAUAUCAUUUCUAGGUCUUUAAUUCUAUGAUUCCAUCAUUUUGGAUGGAAAUUAAAUAUACUGUUAAAGACAUAUGGACUGGAUUCAUGGUUACAAGCAUAAGCUUUGGUGUCAGAUUCAUUUUAAAUACAAGUGCGGCUUCUGCCACUUUAAAGUUCUAUGACCCUGUGGCAUUUAUUAAAUUGGGCUUUAGUAUCCCCAACUAUAAAAUAGGAAAUUGUAAUUGUGAUCUAUCUCAUAGGGUUGUUUUAUAUAUUGAAUGUGAUAAAGCAUGUAAAGCAUUUUUCAGAAAUUGUGGUAAAGGACAAUUAUUACAAAAAUGUUAGCGCUUUUAUGCUAUCAUGAUGGUAGUUAUAGAAGCAUUGAAAACUGGGAAAAGUAAGUCAGCAGAACUCAAUAAACUUGAUUCCUUUGCACUGCCUUUUUUGUUGGAAAACUGUUGACUGGAUAGAUUUUUUUCCUCUCCUGGGGGAAAAGUGAAGUUGUGAAUUUCUUUGUACAUUUCAGAAGUAAAUGAGACGAUCUCAUGUAUAAAUCACUGAAUUCAUAUUAGUUCUAAUCAUUCCCACAAAUACAUCCAGGCUUUAUGUGAGGCAAAUACAUGCAUUUAUUGAAUCAGUUCAUUAGCAGUGAAGAUAUAUGUAUAUGUAUAUGUGUAUAAACACAUAAAAUCGUUUUGGCAUUUGUAUGUUCAUAGGAAAGAGCCAGGAACUAUGGAUAGAUUAGAAGUCAGAAAAUGCAGGUUUAAGCAGAGCUCUGAUACUAACUUGCAGUGUCAUUGUGGAUAAGUUACUUAAUCUUUCUAAUCUCAGUUUACUUCUUUGUGCAACUAGGGCUUUACCUAUUAACUGGUCUCAGCUCUAACACUGCUGUGAAGUCUCAUGACUCUUUGUCAACAAUAGCUCCAUGAAUGAUAACCUAAGAUAACUACAAUGAACUUCAUUCUUGUAUAGAUCAAUGUUUCUCAAAUUAGAAUGGGAAAUCUCAAGAGUCCAGACAAUUUCAGCUCAAUCAGCAAUCUCAAGACCUCCUGACCAAAAGUUGUCCUGUUCAUAUGGCCCUGUCUCCUCCACCCCCUGCAGCCAAAAAUCCAAUAGACAUUCACUGGGAGCCAGCUGUUGUCACGCACUGCACUUGACGGUAGAAAUUUAAGAUAUAAAAUACAUUUUCUAAUGAGGAAGACAUGUCAUAUUUACAUUGUCUUAAAUGCUAGGCAAGCACACAGAAAAACUACUAAAUAUUUCUGGUAAGGUCUGAUAAAUUGACACGCGGGUUUCUUUGGAGAUGCGCCUUAAAGGAUGUCAAAGAAUUGAUCUGGUGGAUAAAGUAAUGAGGAGACAGUGGAAGUUCUCAUGCAAAGGAAAAAAAACAAUUGUAAAGAUACAAAGGUGUGAGAAAUCUUGAUAUAGUCAGAGAAUAGAAAUUACUGUGGAUGUGAAAUAAAGAGCAUCGGUUAAGAGACCAGAUACCAAAGUCAAAUGGUCUAGGUUCAAAUACCAGCUCCAUCACUUAGGUGCACAUGCUGGGCUAAUUAUUUGACCUCUCUGCUUCAGUUUCUUCAUUUGCAGUAUGAGAAUGAUAAGGUAUUGUAAGGAUAUAUUUUUGAAACAUACUCAGUCAAUAUGAGCUAUUUUCUUGAGUAUCAAGUAGAGGGGGUUAGUGAGACAAUAGAGCGAGGAGACACUAAAGAGGUAGAUUGUAAUCUGAUGACAACCAGAGGCUGUCUUAUGCCUUGUCAAAAAAGGUCUCCUAGAUGUGCCGAUGGGGAUUUAUGCUGGAGAGUCCGGUGGCCAUAUUAAUGGCAUUGUGGCAGGAAGGAAAAGGGAAAAUUGGAAGAGUCUUUUCAUAAAAAAAUAAGAGUGGAGGAAUAGUCCAAAAUUUUGCCUUAGGUAACCAGAUGAAUUGCAACCAUUAACAUCUGAGGCAACAUCUGAAGAGGAAGUGCGUUAUUGGGAAAUAUGAUAAAUUUAAUUUCAUUGCAUUUACAGUGUCUGUGGGACAUCAGCUGGAGGUAUUCAAUGAAUGUCUGGAUAUAGAGCAAUGUCUCAGAAGAAAGUCUAGAAAUAGUGCUGUCCAAUAGAAACCUACUGUGACCCUCAAAUGCAAAUUAUUUAGUACAUUAAUUACGUUUUAUUUAACACAAUAUAUCUAAAAUGUUAUUUCAUCUUGUAAUCAAUACAAAGUUAUUAAGAUGUUUUCUUGCCAGAUCUUAAACUUGGUGUGUAAUUUUAUACUUAGCACAUCUCAAGCCAUAUGUCAGAUGCUCGGUAGCCGUAUGUGGCUUGGGGACUACCGUAUGGGACAGUGCGGUUCCAGAAUAUGGUAAUGGGGAGGAUUUAUACAUUUAGCAAUGGUCAGUUGAAAGACUGCAGACACUGUGCUAGGAGCAAGAAUUCAGUGAUGUGUAACACAGACACAUUUUCUCCUUCACUAAACUUUCAAGUUAUUAGGGAAUAGCAGUUCUGCUGGCCUUAAUGUUCUUUCUGUGCAAAUUAAAUAACAGUGAAGUCACUGGGCAGAGUUGUCCCAAACCAAGUAUCACAGAGCACACAUGAGAUUUCUGUGCCUCUUUUUUUGUUUGUUUGUUUGUUUGGAGAUGCAGUC
rnacentral:lncRNA from 1 species